AUUUAUUCUAUGUGUUUGUAAAGUCGGAAGAAAGUUCGGAAGUCGGAAGUCCGACUUCCGAACUUUAAUUUAGUGCUGGCGCCACAAUAAUGAAUUUAAAGCGACUUUUCCCACGAUUCAAUCCCAUUUGAAAAUAUGGUUGUUAGUAGUUAGUGACACAGAAAUUAUGUACUUCCGUCGUUUGAUUAUUGACAUACAUUUUCGCUCUUUUUCGAAAUUUUACCGAAAAGUAAAUCCGUAGAAUCUAUGGAUUUACCCGAAAUAGUUCUGGCAUCUCUGACUAGAACAUAACUUUAUACAUAUGUCACAUAAACAGUAGUUUUGGUCUGUUUUUCAUGUUUGUAGCUGUCGUUGAUCGACAAAAAAUCACAUUAAAAGUCAGUUAGUAAUAACCUUUAUCUCGGGAUCUAAAAUCAAACGCAGGACUUGCUGCUAAAUCGGUAGAAAAUGGCUGUGAAGUGCUAGUUAAAUUCAUUAAAUUGUAAAAAGAAAUGGCAAAAGGCUGCUAAAUGCUAUUGGUGAAACAUCGCUGGAGUGAUUCAAUAAAAUUAAAAAAUUAAGUCGUAUGAGGAAUAUUAAAAUAAAGCUGGACUCAAGACACGAUAAUUUAUUUUGAUGCUGACAAAAUCUGUCAUUCGUUUGUUGGGGGUAGCACUGCUGGCGGCAUAAAUGAUAGCUUCUACAGACAAGAAGGAUGCAGAAACGAACCGAACGACGAAUGCAACCAUUUGUAGAUAGCAUGGUGAUGAUUCAAUCAAUUAGCAGUCCAAGAUUAAACGAAAGUGAAGAAGUUAUGAUUUUAUCUGCAAAAAACAAAAAGUCAUCAACUCUCUGUGCGGCUACGAAAAAGUGGAUCGUUCGAUGGCACAGCGUGAAUUAUGUUUGUAAUACCAGCACGGUAUCUGUAACAAAAUCGCUACAUAUGUCGCAACCCGCAAAAUGGUAGUGAGUCAAGAUUGGUUGUAUGAGGGCCGACCAACCAGGUAUCAAAACUGAAACAUUCUACUAGCUCAAAAACAAAUCAUAUUAUAGCGGGUAACUAGCUGGAAUUGAAAUGGUUCGUGCAUAGGUCAAUCGUCAAAAUCAACAUCGCAGAUAACAAAGACAAUCCGGAAAUUAAACUGUCGUCAGAGAAAUGGGGAAAGAGUCCUCUGCAAGGCGGUAAUGAUCAUCCAUCAAGAAUCGUAUCUCCUAACCAACCUGUUACAUCUGCCAACAGUUAUCUUCGUUCGGAACCAUUCCAAUACUUCCGGUAUGAUGAAGACUGAGUUUCUUGUCGCGGGCGAAUAGGCUACUCGCAGUGCGGAUUGUUUCGGAUUCAUCCAGGAUGAUGAAAUAAUCAUAGGCAGUUCCUGUGGCAGGAACAUUUUCAAAAGUUGUAUGCCAAACGUUAUGAUUCCUUCAUGGCCGAGAAAAACUUCACUUGAAAAUUUUUUGUUUGUAUUGAUACUUGAAAUAUAUGGAAUAAAAAUCCGCCAGUUACCAGUAACCCAGUUUAAGUUCGAAUUAUCCGACAAGAAAAAAACAACCGGGUGCGCCCGCGGAUGGUCGCCACAAAAGUGAUAAACUAACAUCGACCAGUUCCAAAAGCAUCAAUCAGCAAACCUCGCAGACAUCCUCCAUCGAUCUUACCAGCGCCCUGGAGGCAUCGACUCGCAUAGAUUUGGCUGAAGGUUUGUAAAUCGCAAUAUGGAAGAGUCACAACGGUGACCACAAACAAGCAUAUGCAACGGAUGCUCCAAACGCAUUUUUUCUC